rnacentral:rRNA from 1 species
GUCCAUGCCGUAAACGAUGAUAGCUAGAUGUAGGCGGUAUUGACCCCGUCUGUGUCGAAGCCAACGCGAUAAGCUAUCCGCCUGGGGAGUACGGUCGCAAGAUUAAAACUCAAAGGAAUUGACGGGGCCCGCACAAGCGGUGGAGCAUGCGGUUUAAUUCGACGCAACGCGAAGAACCUUACCUAGGCUUGACAUGUACCGAAGUCUUUAGAAAUUGAGAUGUGCUCGCAAGAGAGCGGUAACACAGGUGCUGCAUGGCUGUCGU